rnacentral:rRNA from 1 species
CGACGUAGGAAUCUGCCUUCAAAUGGGGGAUAGCAGACCGAAAGGUCUAUUAAUACCGCAUACGUACAUAGCUCGACAGAGUUAUAUAUAAAAGGAGUAAUCCGUUUGAAGAUGAGCCUGCGUCCGAUUAGCUAGUUGGUAGGGUAAUGGCCUACCAAGGCGACGAUCGGUAGGUGGUCUGAGAGGAUGAUCACCCACAAUGGGACUGAGACACGGCCCAU